UACGUAGGGUGCGAGCGUUGCCCGGAAUUAUUGGGCGUAAAGGGCUCGUAGGCGGUUUGUCGCGUCGGAAGUGAAAACACGGGGCUUAACUCUGUGCUUGCUUUCGAUACGGGCAGACUAGAGGGAUGCAGGGGAGAACGGAAUUCCUGGUGUAGCGGUGAAAUGCGCAGAUAUCAGGAGGAACACCGGUGGCGAAGGCGGGUCUCUGGGCCGAUACUGACGCUGAGGAGCGAAAGCGUGGGGAGCGAACAGG
rnacentral:rRNA from 1 species